AAGUGACUUAAUCAACUUGAUGCAGCUGGUGAGAGGGAGCCGGGGCCGCGAGCCUUGACUUCCAGCCCAAGCUCUUUCUCUCUUUUCUCUAAGGCGGGAACCUAGGGCACUGGCUCUACACAUGUGGCGGUCUUGCCUAAGUCACUUUUGGAAGCAUCUGUUCCGGACUGGUCUUUCUGGCCCCCAGACCUUGACUUUCUGGAUCUUUGGGACCGUGCCCGGCAGGAUGGACUUUAUGUGUCUGGGGCAGUGGGAGGGCAGAAACCCAGAGUCAGCAGUAAUUGCUUUUUUAAGUAACCUGGAUGAAAAUCCUGAGAGGACCAGCUUUUGAUCCUGCAGAACAGGCCUGGGUUCUGCAAACAGCCUGACCCCCGAGGGGCUCCUAAGUCUCCACCAGGACUUCUGCCCAGCAGUUCCAGACCAUCAUCUACAGCUGACCAGCUCUCUUGUCUCUGAAAGCCCAGGGCUGCCUCUGGGGGAGCAGGCUUUAGGCAUUUCUUUUUUCUUUCUUUUUUUUUAGGUCCGCACCUGCAGCAUAUGGAAGGCCUACCACAGCCAUAGCAACUCCAGAUCUGAGCCUUGUCUGUGACCUACGUUGCAAUUCGAAGCAAUGCUGGAUCCUUAACCCACUGAGCAGGGCCAAGGAUCGAACCCAACCUCAGAGCCUGGCUGUCAGUUUGACCUGUUGGAUGGAGGAAUGCCUGACCGAAUGACGGAAUGAACUUGUGGUCACGAAGGUUAAAUGAGAUACCAUGAAAUCUCCAGGAACAGAAUCUAUUCCUCGGGGAAGGAACGUGAGGGUGGGCAGAAGCUCGGGCUGGGGAAGACCCUGGGGUGGGCAGAGGUCUGGGAUGGAGCACCGGGACCCAGGGGGAGAGCUCCAGGUGAUGCUGUGGCAAAGCCUCCCGUGGCCUCCAGAAGCAGGUGGUACCACCUCCAUGGGCAGCUCAUUCCUGAGCUCUGGGUGCAGCCUCUGCCCCUGGCUCUGUGUGGGCCUCCCAGUUGUCCUCCAAGGUGCAUGGUGUAUGUCACACCCUCCUCCUGGCACCUCAGAGCCUCUGAGGCCAGCUGCCCGCCUGGUCUGAGCAGCGUGUCAUAGUCUGCAGAGAAAAGGCCAUCUAUUUUCUCGCAGCGUGAACUCUCACAUUUACAGCGAUGCCAAGCCGAAUGUAAGACUCAUACAAACGCCACUCCGAGCCCUGCCCCCCAUGAAGGGGGGCGGGGGGGGGGGGAAGCCCUGCCCCGUCCAGGAAACAAAGUCCCCUCUGUUGGCAGCAUGAGUUUCCGUUCAAGUCCCCAGGCCCCCUGGGUGGCCAUGGAAUAAUCUGGGCCAGUAAGUGGGGUGUAUUGGACCCUCUGGGCAGCCCCCCAAGGCUGUCUUUGUUUCCCACCAUGGGAGAGGGGCCAACCCCACCUGGCUGGGGCGCCCAUGGAGAUGCUAUGGGAUCCCAGGGGCCUGACCGCAUCCCCUGUGCCUGAGGGUCAGUGCUUCUGGGAGUUCUGGUCAAGGGCACAUCACGUCUUGAAGCUUAGUGUGUGCCCAGGGUCCACAUCCUUCUGAACAGUUUUUUUUUUUUUUUUUUUUUUUUUUAGGGCUGCACUCACCCGCAUAUGGAGGUUCCCAGGCUAGGGGUCAAAUCAGAGCUGUAGCCACCAACCUACACUACAGCCACAGCAACACGGGAUCCUUAACCUGCUGAGGCCAGGGACUGAACCCACAACCUCAUGGUUCCUAGUUGGAUUUGUUAACUACUGAGCCACAAUGGGAACUCAGCUUCUGAACAGUUUUUCUUUUCCCGUCCCUGCUCAGGAAACAGAAAAGGUUGAAAUUGCCAUCUUCUGGCUUAAGGAGUCCUGCUGUGACUCCAUCUCUGACCAGAGUCCUUUUUCCCCCCGCUUCCUGGGUGGGGUUUGAACUCACAGCAUGGGGGCAGUUUGGAUGAGCUGCUGGAGAAGACCAUUCUGCCACCUCCACCCCUAGGUAGCUGGGGAGUCAGGCCCUGGGACUGAGAGAGACUCGGUCUCAGGCACAGAUCUGGAGGCAGGUUAGCCUCUGAGCUGCUGGGCCUCUCUGUCCGGGCCUCCCUGCCUCCCCACGGGGGCCACAGAUACUCACUGUGCCUACUUUUUCUUCAUCAAUCCAGCCUAUUCUCAGUCAAUUACUUCAUGGCCCAGCUCUCUGAUUUCUAAAGUGACAGCUCAUUUCUCCUCCUCCUCAUUUUUUUUUUUUUUUUUUUUUUUUUUUUUUUUUUGCUCUUUAGGUCUGCACCAGAAGCAUAUAGAAGUAGUUUUCAGGCUUGGGGUCGAAUUGGAGCUGCAGCUGCUGGCCUAUAUCACAGCCACAGCAAGGCCCGAGCCGAGCCGCGUCUGUGACCUACACCACAACUCACAGCAACAUGGGAUCCUUAACCCACUGAGCGAGGCUAGGGAUCAAACCCUCAUCCUCAGGGAUACUGGUCGGGUUUGUAACGGCUGAGCCACAACAGGAAGUCCCGGUGACAGCUCAUUUCCAAAGAAACCCUUGCACUGGAGUUGGGGACGUGUGUGAGAUCCAAUACCUUGAUGCUAGAAGGCUCUGAGGCCCCCAGUGCAUUGACAAGGCUGACCCCUCGGAGUCCCUGAACCUCUGGCCUUGCUUCCCGCUCAUUCUGGCUUCCUUCGGAAACUUCCCUCAGCAGGGUCCUCAGAUCAGAUUUUCCUGCCUUUAAAUUUUCAAAUUAAGAGGCUUCUCACAGGGCCUCCAUGUCACCCGGGCUUUGUUUUGAUAGGAGCCCAGGUUCUAGAAUAGCUGCUUGCAAGUGGGCACGGACCCUACAGUGGCUGAGCAGGGCUGCCUGGGCACAAGGGCCAAGGGCUGGCAAGAUGAGUCCAAGGGAACCAUGGGCAGGGCAUUUCUAUGGCAACUCACACCAGCCCUCCUGUGUCCAGACCAUCAUUAAAUUAACCUGGGAGAGUUCCUGUUGUGGCUCAGUGGAAACGCUGGUCGAUCCCAGGCCUCGCUCAGUGGAUUAAGGAUCUGGCAUUGCCGUGAGCUGUGGUGUAGGUCACAGAUGCGGCUUGGAUCCUAUGUGGCUGUGGCUGUGGCUCUGGUGUAGGCCGGCAUCACAGCUCCGAUUCGACCACUAGCCUGGGAACCUCCAUACACUGCAGGUGCGGCCCUAAAAAGACAACAAAAUAAAAAUUAAAAAUUACCCUGGGGACCUUCUCCUGGCAGCGAUGUCUGUAGGUUCAGACAAGAUGUUUUAACUUUCAGACGGUUGAUUGGCAUGAAAUCAUUAUCAAGUGGGACCAUUAGCAGAAGCGAGGCACAGGCAAAACUAGUAACUCCAGGAAACACUCGAUUUUCCGUCGGCUGUCCAUCCUUCCUCGGCUCUUCUGGUUUUUGCUGCAACGUGGACAUCCUGAAGCGUGUUCUGCCUCUUUUAGGACUGCAAAAAAAAAAAAAAAAAGAAGAAAAAAAUGAAAUAAGAAGGUGAUGGGCAUCUCCAGUCAAGGCCUGUAAAACCCCUCCGUUCUCCGGAGUCCACGGGAAAAGUGUCACAACCUGUAGACUUGUUCCUGUCCCCAUCCCAGAGACAGUCGCUUGUUGGUUUUAACUGGAAAAAUAAACAUUUGAAAAACAGGCAAAAAAA
rnacentral:lncRNA from 1 species